rnacentral:lncRNA from 1 species
CGUGACGCUCUUUUGAGUUUAGCGGGAAAAAAGAAGAUUUUUGUUAAGUCUCGUAGCCAGGCGGCCCUUUGCGGUAAACAGCCUUACAGGAUCCUUUCUGGAGGGAGCAUCACCCUAGCUCAGACUUUCAGCACAUCAUCUCCACGCCUUCUCAGAGAAGGCAAUGCAGACCUCUGAGCUACAGACGCAGCCAAAGCCGUUUGUGCCUCUGCCGAUCCAGCUACAUCGUGCCUAGGACCUCUCUUCUGUAUUACUUCUUAGGGACUGCAGGAGAGGUGAUCAUUAAGCAAGUCAGCAACACUGGGCACAUUUUGCCCUAAUUAAAUCCAUCCCUUUCCCUAUGCAGAAACCACCUGUUUUUUACUGCCAGUUGAUGUGUAGACAUAACUGAAUUUUGCUUCCCGAAAGGAUCCCUAAGGAUGGGGAGCUAGAGGUAAUCUGGAACUGGUCUCUCAUGAGUAAGGAGCACUGGAGAGGCCAGUUUCUCCUGCUGCCAAGCAGUAGUAGGAAGCAGCGGUGACAGCACAUAGUGUUUUUAUCAGUGACCAUCCCUUCCCUGACAACAGGAGUUGCCACCCUACACAGGUGAGGUUUUUUCCCUGAUGGUGGCAAGGGCAAACCUGGCUUUUCAAGACUACACCAUAAUCAAGCAAUGGGGCCACUGCCCUCAGCUGCCUACACUCUGUUUUGCUUUUGCCUAUAGGUAAUCCCAGUUUUUGUUCAUUGUAAGCAUCCUGUGAUCUCUUAGCAAUAUAUAUGUUGGGAUUUUUAACUCCUCGAAUCACUUAAAAUUCAGUGUAAGGAUUUUGUAAGUCAUAUAUGCUCAAAAGGAUAACGAGACACAUUUUUAAAGGAAUGGUGAAUUCUCCGUAGCAAUUAGUGCUUGUUACCUGGGAUAUAAGGUUACGUUGAGUACCACAAACUAAUUUGCAUUCAUGGUGUUUUAUUUCCUUACUUAGAGUGUGUUGGUGAGAGAGGAAUCCCAGAAUGGUGGGAUGUUAAUUUGCAGAAAGAUUUAAAUGUGCAUCCCCUAGCCAGCCAGGCAGUAGCUAGAUCUGGGGUGGAUCAGGAUAACUGCUGUGAGCAACAGCAUU